GACGAACGCGGCGGCGUGCCUAAUACAUGCAAGUAGAACGCUGAAGAGAGGAGCUUGCUCUUCUUGAUGAGUUGCGAACGGGAGAGUAACGCGUAGGUAACCUGCCUUGUAGCGGGGGAUAACUAUUGGAAACGAUAGCUAAUACCGCAUAACAAUGGGUGACACAUGUCAUUUAUUUGAAAGGGGCAAUUGCUCCACUACAAGAUGGACCUGCGUUGUAUUAGCUAGUAGGUGAGGUAACGGCUCACCUAGGCGACGAUACAUAGCCGACCUGAGAGGGUGAUCGGCCACACUGGGACUGAGACACGGCCCAGACUCCUACGGGAGGCAGCAGUAGGGAAUCUUCGGCAAUGGGGCAACCCUGACCGAGCAACGCCGCGUGAGUGAAGAAGGUUUUCGGAUCGUAAAGCUCUGUUGUAAGUCAAGAACGAGUGUGAGAGUGGAAAGUUCACACUGUGACGGUAGCUUACCAGAAAGGGACGGCUAACUACGUGCCAGCAGCCGCGGUAAUACGUAGGUGGCAAGCGUUAUCCGGAAUUAUUGGGCGUAAAGCGCGCGUAGGCGGUUUUUUAAGUCUGAUGUGAAAGCCCACGGCUCAACCGUGGAGGGUCAUUGGAAACUGGAAAACUUGAGUGCAGAAGAGGAAAGUGGAAUUCCAUGUGUAGCGGUGAAAUGCGCAGAGAUAUGGAGGAACACCAGUGGCGAAGGCGACUUUCUGGUCUGUAACUGACGCUGAUGUGCGAAAGCGUGGGGAUCAAACAGG
rnacentral:rRNA from 1 species